rnacentral:misc_RNA from 1 species
GAUGAAGAACGUAGCGAAAUGCGAUACGUAAUGUGAAUUGCAGAAUUCAGUGAAUCAUCGAGUCUUUGAACGCACAUUGCGCCCCCUGGUAUUCCGGGGGGCAUGCCUGUCCGAGCGUCAUUGCUGCCCUCAAGCACGGCUUGUGUGUUGGGCCUCCGUCCUCCUCCCGGGGGACGGGCCCGAAAGGCAGCGGCGGCACCGCGUCCGGUCCUCGAGCGUAUGGGGCUUCGUCACCCGCUCUUGUAGGCCCGGCCGGCGCUUGCCGACACAUCAAUCUUUUUUCCAGGUUGACCUCGGAUCAGGUAGGGAUACCCGCUGAACUUAAGCAUAUAAUAAGCGGAGGA